rnacentral:lncRNA from 1 species
AUGUCUGCUUUUUCUUAUGUUUUCAUGCAUUUUAUUGACAACUUGAACUCUCAUGAAACUUGGCUGUGUUCAUGGAUCUUUUUUUUGACAGGAGGAAGUGAAACAGGCCAAAAUGAAAAAGUGCUUAAAUGUGAGUUGUCUGACAACAAGGAGGACUUCCAGGUGCAUCAUCUGUUGAUUGAGGAAGAGGCGGAACAUCCCUUCAGUAUAACUGUAGGACUGCUGGACAGUAUAUCAUCUAUGGGAUCAAUGCUCCAGAUUGGUGUACUGAUGGCCUCUUACACAGACUUGAGGUAGUAUGGGGAAGAAGUGGAAACUUGAACUCAAGGCAGUAUGAGCCACUGGUACCUUAAAGUGAAAGAACAUUCUAGAAGGAUAGGCUUUGGGAAAUGUGGAAUGAACAGAAAAGGAACACAGGACCAAGCUUUGCUCAAGGACUAUGAAGAUUUCCCAGCAAAUUCACCAGUCAGCAGAAUAGCCUUAUGUGCAAUCAAUCCUCUUAUUUCCCUUUUUUCUGCUUACAAUGUCUCUGGUGUAAAACUCCCAAGGGAUGGGGGAUGCUGGCCACCCAUUUUGUAUUCCCUCAACUGGAAGGCUUUAAUAAACUUAAAACUUUCACAUUUGGGUUCCA